AAGGCAUCUGCUGCUAAUUCGAAUAAGAAGGUGGUGAAGUAUGCUCGCAGGGAGGAUGCUAGUUCUGGAAGUUAGUUCAUCAAAACACUCAGCACCAACUUCUUCUAAAGUUUAUUCUGCAACAACUUUUGGCAGUUGCUCCAUCCUGGUUCAUUCACUUGGAUUUUCUUGGCUUGGUGGAGAAAUUUUACUAUCUCUCUGGCAGAUAUGACAUUGAGCUGACUGUUGGUGAUGCUGUCAUG